rnacentral:siRNA from 1 species
GUGGGCAGCUUUGUGACGUCUGCA